UACAGAGACUGCAAGCGUUAUUCGGAUUCACUGGGCGUAAAGGUGCGCAGGCGGCCAAGUGUGUCAGGUGUGAAAUCCCGAGCUUAACCUCGGAACUGCGCCUGAAACUACUUGGCUAGAGUACUGGAGAGGGUAACGGAAUUCACGGUGUAGCAGUGAAAUGCGUAGAUAUCGUGAGGAACACCAGAGGCGAAGGCGGUUACCUGGACAGUUACUGACGCUCAGGCACGAAAGCGUGGGGAGCAAAAGGG
rnacentral:rRNA from 1 species